GGGGGCCCCGGGAAGAGUUAUCUUUUCUGUUUAACGGCCCGCCCACCCUGGAAANGGCUNAGCNGGAGGUAGGGUCCAGNGGCCGGAAGAGGCGCNNNNNGNGGNGUCCGGUGGCCCCCGGCGGCCCGUGAAAAUCCGGAGGACGGCCCCGAACCCGUCGGCUGUCGGCGGACUGCUCGAGCUGCCCCGCGUGCCGGCAGGGGGACGAUCGCGCGGGCCUUCCCCGGGCGUCGAACAGCCGACUCAGAACUGGUACGGACGAGGGGGAUCCGACUGUUUAAUUAAAACAAAGCAUUGCGAUGGU
rnacentral:rRNA from 1 species